rnacentral:rRNA from 1 species
AUGGGGCUUCUGGUGCUGCUUCAGGUCCUCCUCGUCGCGGCCGCGGCGGCGAGGGCUCCGGCGGCGCGGGCGUGGGGCGUGGAGGGCCACUACAUGACCUGCAAGAUCGCCGAGGGUUUGCUGACGAGCGAGGCCACGACGGCGGUGAAGGGCCUCCUGCCGGGGUGGGCCAACGGCGAGCUCGCGGGGGCGUGCUCGUGGCCGGACAUCGAGCGGCGCCGGAUGCCGUGGUCCGGCUCCCUGCACUUCGCCGACACCCCCGGCGACUGCAAGUUCAGCUACGCAAGGGACUGCCACGGCCCGAAAGGGGAGAAGGACAUGUGCGUGGUCGGAGGCAUCAACAACUACACCGCCGCGCUGCAAGACUCCUCAAGCCCGUAUAAUCGGACGGAGAGCCUGCUGUUCCUGGCGCACUUCCUCGGCGACGUCCACCAGCCCAUGCACUGCGGCCGCACCGCCGACCUCGGCGGUAACACCAUCCUCGUCACCUGGUACAGCACAGCCAAGACCAACCUUCACAAGGUGUGGGAUGACAAGGUGAUCCAGACGGCCAUGAGCAAGUUCUACAAGGAUGACCUAAGCACCAUGAUCGACGCCAUCAAGCUCAACCUUACUGAGGAUUGGUGCACCGAAGAGAACCAGUGGACGGCCUGCAGUACACAAACAACAACUUGUGCUGACAAGUACGCCGAGGAGAGCGCGGAGCUGUCGUGCCCGGCUUACGUGGGUGUUGGGCAAUACUCCAACUUAGAAGAUGAAUAUUUCUUCCCGGCGAUGCCGGUUGUUGAGAAGAGGAUUGCCCAGGGAGGUGUCAGGCUGGCGGCCAUCCUCAACCGGAUCUUCAGUGGGGAGAACAACAGCAGGCUGCAGAGCCUUUGA